UAAGAUUGGUAAUAUUAACCUCACUUUUGUAAUUCAGGAAUGAUUUUUAAGCAUGCUCUACUAAUAACAAAUUAUCUUCAGAUAAACAAUUCAUUGAAAAAUUAAUAUCUCACAAAUAGAUUUAUACAAUUCAUAAUGCAGAGAUAUCUUAUAAACUUUUCUUACAUUGGAACGUUCUUCAGGGGUUUCCAAAGACAAGUGACUGGUGUCCUUCCUAGGCAGGACGAUCCUUCAACUAUCCAGGGAUAUUUGGAAAUGGCUUUACAAAGAAUAGGUGCGAAAAAUAUGCCUUUUAUAGUUGGAUCCAGCAGAACUGACUCAGGAGUCCAUGCCUUGAAUUCUUCAUGUCAUGUCGAUCUUGAAAGUCCAAACGGAGUACCUUUUGAGCCAAGAUAUGUUACAUCCUCUAUGAAUAAGUUACUUUUUGGAUGGGAUGUUCCGAUUAAAAUAAUAAAUGUUCAUGCAGUUCCUGAUACAUUUCAUUGUAGACAUAAUGCAAUUAAACGAACCUAUUUAUAUAAAUUAAUAGUAAUAGAACCUGAAGUUCUCACAACACAUCCUUUAUUGCAACACAUACCCAUAGAACUGGCUAAUAGAGCCUGGUUUCCUACAUGCUCUGAAUUUGAUGAAAACUAUAUGAGAGAAACUGCUAAAUUAUUUCUUGGGUAUCAUGACUUCAAAUCAUUCUCGGGUGCCGAUAGAAAUUCUCAAUCUUAUAGAAAAAAUAAAAUUACUAGAAGAACUAUAACAAAAUUAUCGAUUGACGAGUCACCUAUGAAUUUGUAUAGUUUUUACAGUCUGCCGACUCAUGGUUUAAACAAACAAGCAAAAUACAAGAGUUAUGAUAUUUGCAUAGAAUCUUCUGGAUUUUUGUAUAAUCAGGUAUGUAAUUCAUUUUUCCCGCCAAAUGAACCGGAAACAAAUAGUUCAGAGGACGCGUGCGUCAAAUGUUCAGCAGGUAGCUCAAUAUAGAAAAACAAAUUAUUGAAUUAAAUCAUAUGUAUUCAAUUCAAACUUCUAAAAAUUAAAUUCGAGUUCAAUAAUUCCGUCACUAUAUAGUAAUUAUUUAAUUAAGUUAUUCGUUGAUAAAGCUUUAAUCUAAGUUUAAAUGUUAUUAUUAGUUUCAUAAUGUUGGCAACAAUGUUGAAGAAGCGUCACUUUUCACUUUAACGAUCAUUUCUAGAUGUUUCCUCCUUUGCUGUUCAACCAAGCCGCAUAGUGUAUACACGUUGAAGCAUUGAUUAGGUAUCUCAAUUUAGUAUUGAAUGUCGUGUUCCCCUUGUGUUGUGUUGCUGAUUAAUAAUUAGACAAGGGAGCGUGUGACUGUCGAGCGAGCCAGAGGCACCCCCAGAGGCCGAGAUCAAUGGUCUGGUGGCGGCCGCAGUAGUGACAGCCGAUCAUUUGAGCGUUAUGGUCCUCCCACCCGUACGAACUACCGAGUGGUUGUUGAAAAUCUAUCUUCCCGUGUUUCUUGGCAAGACCUCAAAGAUUUUAUGCGUCAAGCAGGCGAAGUUACCUAUGCUGAUGCCCAUAAGCAACAUCGUAAUGAAGGCGUAGUUGAAUUUGCAAGCUACUCUGACAUGAAAAAUGCCAUAGAAAAAUUAGAUGAUACCGACUUGAAUGGUCGAAGAAUCCGUUUGAUCGAAGAUAAAGUAACCAAAAGACGUCGCUCUGCUUCCUACAGCAGCAGAUCCAGAUCUCGCAGUCGUUCAAGGCGUACUCGUUCCAAAUCCAAGUCUAGAUCUCGAUCAAGAAGCAAAUCCAGGUCUAAGUCUAAAUCUGCCGAACCUAAGGACGGAGGUAGAUCAAAAUCAAGAUCCCGUUCUCGUUCCAAUUCACGCAAGAGAGAUAACAGAUCAAGGUCCACAUCCCGUCGCAAGUCUGUUGACAGAUCUAAAUCUAGAUCCGCUUCCCCAAAGCGUUCUAAGUCGAGAGACAGGUCUAAGGAAAGGUCUCAUUCAAGGUCAAGGUCUGCCAGCAAAGAAAGAAGUAGAAGCCGAUCGCGAUCAGCUGAUAACUAGUCAACCUAGUUGAGAAUGCUGUUAAGGUCAUUUUAUUCUUAUAAUUCUUAGUUUACCUAUUAGCCAGUAAAUCAAUUUAAUUCAUGUUGAGUAGAAUAUAACGAUGGUCAGUUGAAUAUUUUUCAUUUAAAUUUUUUUCUUGGCGGAACUUGUAUGUUCAAAGUUUAGUUAGCUUACAUUAUCAAAAUGAGUUUUUUAAAUGACCUUCUGAAGUGUAGAAGAAAUUUGAAGCCUACUGAAACUCUAAUCACCCAUGUUGACGGACAAUGCCUCAUAGAAUCUAGAAGCACGACCCUACCUGUUAAAAUAGAAAGAAAGCCCUAUGGAUUCAUUGUUGAUAACAAACCCGAUGAUAAGCCAGCCAAAAUAUUAGAUUAUUUAUACUUAGGAUCCCAAGAUUGUUGCUCGAAAGAAGUACUGCAAGCCUACAAUAUAACAAACAUACUAAGCAUUGGAAUUAAGACGCCAAUUGAAGAUCCCGAUAUCAAAUGCCACUAUUUGGAAUGUCUGGACCUACCCGAGACCAACAUCUGGAACAUCAUCAACAGCAGUGUGACAGUGAUCAAAAAUUCAGUGAACAAUUGUGAAUCAAUCUUAGUGCAUUGCAAUGCUGGAAUUAGCCGUUCGGCUUCAGUUGUUAUAGGUUACUUAGUUUUAGAACAUAAUUAUAAUUUCCUCAAUGCAUUUGAACAUGUACGUUCUGCACGCCCUGUAGUUAAUCCCAAUAAUGGGUUCAUGAAACAAUUGAGAGAGUACCAUCUUUAUAUUUAAAUUUUACUGGCUCAUAUGUUGACUAAAUUUAAUUAUAAUAAUGACUCACCAUAAGUGUAAGUUCCAUGUUUUAAAUAUAAUAUUAUUUUGAGUUUUGAUGAGAAAA